rnacentral:rRNA from 1 species
GAACCUGGCUCAGGAUGAACGCUGGCGGCGUGCUUAACACAUGCAAGUCGAACGAUGAAGCCGAAGCUUGCUUUGGUGGAUUAGUGGCGAACGGGUGAGUAACACGUGAGUAACCUGCCCCUGACUCUGGGAUAAGCCUGGGAAACUGGGUCUAAUACCGGAUAUGACCAUGGAACGCAUGUUCUGUGGUGGAAAGAUUUAUCGGUUGGGGAUGGACUCGCGGCCUAUCAGCUUGUUGGUGAGGUAAUGGCUCACCAAGGCGACGACGGGUAGCCGGCCUGAGAGGGUGACCGGCCACACUGGGACUGAGACACGGCCCAGACUCCUACGGGAGGCAGCAGUGGGGAAUAUUGCACAAUGGGCGAAAGCCUGAUGCAGCGACGCCGCGUGAGGGAUGACGGCCUUCGGGUUGUAAACCUCUUUCAGUAGGGAAGAAGCGAGAGUGACGGUACCUGCAGAAGAAGCGCCGGCUAACUACGUGCCAGCAGCCGCGGUAAUACGUAGGGCGCAAGCGUUAUCCGGAUUUAUUGGGCGUAAAGAGCUCGUAGGCGGUUUGUCGCGUCUGCCGUGAAAGUCCGAGGCUCAACCUCGGAUCUGCGGUGGGUACGGGCAGACUAGAGUGAUGUAGGGGAGACUGGAAUUCCUGGUGUAGCGGUGAAAUGCGCAGAUAUCAGGAGGAACACCGAUGGCGAAGGCAGGUCUCUGGGCAUUUACUGACGCUGAGGAGCGAAAGCAUGGGGAGCGAACAGGAUUAGAUACCCUGGUAGUCCAUGCCGUAAACGUUGGGCACUAGGUGUGGGGGACAUUCCACGUUUUCCGCGCCGUAGCUAACGCAUUAAGUGCCCCGCCUGGGGAGUACGGCCGCAAGGCUAAAACUCAAAGGAAUUGACGGGGCCCGCACAAGCGGCGGAGCAUGCGGAUUAAUUCGAUGCAACGCGAAGAACCUUACCAAGGCUUGACAUGGUCCAGACCGGGCUAGAAGAUAGUCCUUUCCU